rnacentral:rRNA from 1 species
CAACCCUUGACAUGGGAAGUAUGGUCCGGAGAGAUCUGGUCCUUCAGUUCGGCUGGCUUCCACACAGGUGCUGCAUGGCUGUCGUCAGCUCGUGUCGUGAGAUGUUGGGUUAAGUCCCGCAACGAGCGCAACCCUCCUCUUCAGUUGCCAUCAUUGAGUUGGGCACUCUGGAGAUACUGCCGGUGACAAGCCGGAGGAAGGCGGGGAUGACGUCAAGUCCUCAUGGCCCUUACGGGUUGGGCUACACACGUGCUACAAUGGCGGUGACAGUGGGCAGCGAAGGGGCGACCUGGAGCUAAUCCCCAAAAGCCGUCUCAGUUCGGAUUGCACUCUGCAACUCGGGUGCAUGAAGUUGGAAUCGCUAGUAAUCGCGGAUCAGCACGCCGCGGUGAGUA